UGGCUCUCGCAUCGAUGAAGAACGCAGCGAAAUGCGAUAAGUAAUGUGAAUUGCAGAAUUCAGUGAAUCAUCGAAUCUUUGAACGCACCUUGCACCUCUUAGUAUUCUGAGAGGUACACCUGUUUGAGUGUCAUUAAUACCUCUCCAUACAAGUUCUUCAUAGAAGAGAUUGUGGUGGGAUUUGGGAGAUUGCAGUUAGUAUUGCUCUCCUUAAAUGAAUUAGCAGUGAUUAUUAUCAAAGAUCCCUUUGGUUGAUGUGAUAGUUAUCUCCUCUCAACCUUUCUUUGUAUAUUCAUAUCUGCUUAAAGUCGUCUUUGUUAAGAAGACAAUUACAUUUAAGACAUGAUCUCAAAUCAGGUGGGACUACCCGCUGA
rnacentral:misc_RNA from 1 species